rnacentral:rRNA from 1 species
UACGUAGGUGGCAAGCGUUGUCCGGAAUCAUUGGGCGUAAAGCGCGCGUAGGUGGCCCCGUAAGUCCGCUGUGAAAGUCAAAGGCUCAACCUUUGAAAGCCGGUGGAUACUGUGGGACUAGAGUACGGAAGAGGCGAGUGGAAUUCCUGGUGUAGCGGUGGAAUGCGCAGAUAUCAGGAGGAACACCAAUAGCGAAGGCAGCUCGCUGGGACGUUACUGACACUGAGGCGCGAAAGCGUGGGGAGCGAACAGG